AUGUAAAAGAUACUUUUGUUAACCUUUACAACUUCUAUAAGGAAAUUGAUUCUAUGAAUGGGAGUUCUAAAGUAUCAAAUUCAAAUGAUGGUCAAUCAAUGCAAGCACAACAAAGUGGGAUGAUGAUGGAUUCAUUGGAUGAUGGAAGCAUAGAUGAUCGUCGGCGUUUGAAAGAAUCACAAUUUAAAAAAAGAAAAAUGGAAAAAAAAUGAAUUGGAAAUAAAGAAUGAGGUUGAUAAAUUUUUGUUUGAUCCAUGUGAGGAUGUGGAGAGUGAGAAAUUUGAUAUUUUGGCUUGGUGGAAAAAUAAUUGGACAAAAUAUCGAAUUUUAUCUCAAAUUGCAAGAGAUGUAUACGCCAUUCCAGUUUCUACAGUAGCAUCCGAAUCUGCUUUUAGUACCGGAGGGCGUAUUCUUGAUGCAUUCCGAAGUUCAUUGGGUCCAAAAAUGGUGGAGGCUUUGAUUUGUUCUCAAAAUUGGUUGCAAUCAAAGCCUAUGACGUAUGAUUAUAGAGUUGAAAUACCAAUAGAAGAUGUCGCAUAUUAUGAUUCUAUUGAAUCGGGAGCAUCUUGGGUUACAAAACAAAGUUUACCUCCACCUAAUUGAUAUAUGAUUACUUGGAUGAAUGGAAUUUGGUUUAUUGAGGUAGUGAGCUUGUGGUUGCUGCUGGUGGCUUUUCAUGCAAUGGAGAAUGUGGAAGAAAACAAUAUUUAAACUAAUUUUUAUUUUUAUGGAUUAUUAGUUUAUUUAAUUAUAAGUUUAUUUUAAAAUUUUAGAUUUCAAAUAUGGGUUGUAUUUUAUUUUGUAGCUAAUAAUGGUUGUAGACUUGUUAUAUACUUUAUUUGUUGAUGUAUGGUUUAUAAUUGGGUGGUGGUAGUUGUAGAUUUGUAUUAUAGUUGUAUGAUUAUGUGUUGUAUUAUUUAAUAUGUUUGAUGCUUAAUAAUUAACUUAUUUGGUAUUUUUGUUUAGGUGGA